AGGAGCCGUAUGAGGUGAAAAUCUCAUGUACAGUUCUGUACCCUUUUGUUGAAGGUCGUUCGAGCUUUUCCUGGGAGUAUGGCAUGGGUUACUUCAGC